rnacentral:rRNA from 1 species
AACGAACGCUGGCGGCAGGCUUAACACAUGCAAGUCGAGCGCCCCGCAAGGGGAGCGGCAGACGGGUGAGUAACGCGUGGGAAUCUACCCAUCACUACGGAACAACUCCGGGAAACUGGAGCUAAUACCGUAUACGUCCUUCGGGAGAAAGAUUUAUCGGUGAUGGAUGAGCCCGCGUUGGAUUAGCUAGUUGGUGGGGUAAUGGCCUACCAAGGCGACGAUCCAUAGCUGGUCUGAGAGGAUGAUCAGCCACACUGGGACUGAGACACGGCCCAGACUCCUACGGGAGGCAGCAGUGGGGAAUAUUGGACAAUGGGCGAAAGCCUGAUCCAGCCAUGCCGCGUGAGUGAUGAAGGCCCUAGGGUUGUAAAGCUCUUUCACCGGUGAAGAUAAUGACGGUAACCGGAGAAGAAGCCCCGGCUAACUUCGUGCCAGCAGCCGCCGUAAGAC